GUGUUGCGCCAGUCAUAAUUUUCGAAUGGCUGGAUAGGUGCUAUUCAAGCCUGGUAGACAUGAAAUAGUUGAUGUUUGCAAAUCUGAUGUACUUGCACUGAGUUUUUGCAUGGAGUGCACAUUCCAUAAACUUGACAAACUCAAUAAAGAACUGAAAACUCCUAAUCUAUUGUACUUCUGUAAGCAUUUUAUGAAUAUGAAGAUGUAAGAAAUGCGGUGAAGCUAAGUUUUCAAUCAACACAACUAAUUGGCAUGUGAAAGGGUUAAGGAAAGAGGCUCCUUGAAACAAUUUCUCGAAACAUCGCAACAUACCACCUGAGGGUCUCCAACCUUAACCUCUUACUACUGUUUUGCAAAUCACAAUAUUGACUGAAUGCAAUAUUUUUCUGACCAGUCUUUCAUGUAAUGUAAAGAAAGUUAACACGCCUAGUCUUACAUGAAGAUAAAUUCGAAAUCAUUUAUUUAUAGCACUCACUUAGCAGCAGUUCGGAACUUUUCUUUAUCAGUAUAGUACUUGUGAUUCACCUUUGUAUUGCUGAGUACAGGUAGAGAUAUGGUUAGUUGUUUACUAGAAAGGAUCCCGAAUUUUCCACCUUCUGAUUGUAGCUUAGACCGUCACUUGUACUUCACAAGGAGUGGACUGUGGUAGCUAGGAAAUAUAGUUUUCCUGAGAAUUUCCAUGCAUGCAAUUUUGAUUCUGUCUGCUAGCAUGUUUGUAUUACAGCAUGAAUUUCAUAUAUUAGAGGCUCCAUGAAGGUAUAUUCUGUCGUUGAAUGUCUAUGAGAUGGUUAAGCAGGUUGACUGUAUCUAGUUACAACUCCUCAUGUCCUGUGGCAGUUACGUUUGUGUGGUUUGGUGCUGUCAGUGUAAGCUUAACAUUUCUUUCCUUCUCCCAGGAAGGACACAAGCAUUGAGGAGCCAUUUGACCUGCCACUACACUGAUACAGUAUUUGGCAAAGGCAGGAGGCAUCUGCAAGCAACCAGUCAUUCCGAUUCUCAACCAAUCCUUCUAGUCAGCCCAUUUCUAGUGUCUUAUCUUGCAAGUUUUUUUCAGUAAAGCACAAUAAACACGCAGUUUCGUUCA